rnacentral:rRNA from 1 species
CUACGGGGCGCAGCAGUGGGGAAUAUUGCACAAUGGGGGAAACCCUGAUGCAGCGACGCCGCGUGAAGGAUGAAGGAUUUCGGUUCGUAAACUUCUAUCAGCAGGGAAGAUAGUGACUGUACCUGACUAAGAAGCCCCGGCUAACUACGUGCCAGCAGCCGCGGUAAUACGUAGGGGGCAAGCGUUAUCCGGAAUUACUGGGUGUAAAGGGUGCGUAGGUGGCUUGUUAAGCCAGAUGUGAAAGCCCGGGGCUCAACCCCGGGACUGCAUUUGGAACUGGCAAGCUAGAAUACAGGAGAGGUAAGUGGAAUUCCUAGUGUAGCGGUGAAAUGCGUAGAUAUUAGGAGGAACGCCAGUGGCGAAGGCGACUUACUGGACUGUUAUUGACACUGAGGCACGAAAGCGUGGGGAGCGAACAGGAUUAGAUACCCGCGUAGUC